rnacentral:lncRNA from 1 species
UUCAAACGGAUCCCUUAAACCAGCACUGAAUUUCCAAGCACGGAUUGUUGAUAAAUGGAGGAGAUUGGAGGCAUAUCCUUGUUUGUACUUUUCUUUCGUUUUUUCUUUUGUUCUUUCCAUUUUCUUUUUUUUUCUUUUUUUUUGUAAUUUGUUUUUGCUUUUUGCUUAUUGCUUUUUUCAGGUAGAUGCACUACUAGAAAACUGCACAUAGGCAUUGGCAGGCAAACAAACUCCCAGUUUUUGUGAGUUAAAGCAAAAAAUUUGUCGAUGUUUUACCCAAAGGAAAAUUUGUCGAUGUUUCUUCUAGAAAACAGAAAACAGACAACGGCACAUAGAAUAGAACCAACACCACAAGCAUAUAACUUUAUUUCCCUCUCAAACUAAACUCUUUGAGCAUGAGUAUUGUGCCAGGAUGACCUGUCCAAAAGUCCAAUCAACUGAAAAGUUAAGGGUUUGUGAGAUUGCUCUUAGAAGGAGCACUUCUUUUUUUAAGCGUUUUUGUUAAGAAUUCAAGUACUGCAUGUAAAAAC